rnacentral:pre_miRNA from 1 species
AACCUGCACAGGCUGGCCGGUCCCCAGGCUGAGUUGGGCAAGUAUCUCAUGGAAAGGCUCACCCUUCAACAUGACUAGGAGC